rnacentral:rRNA from 1 species
GACAGAUUGAGAGCUCUUUCUUGAUUCGGUGGGUGGUGGUGCAUGGCCGUUCUUAGUUGGUGGAGCGAUUUGUCUGGUUAAUUCCGAUAACGAACGAGACUCUAGCCUGCUAAAUAGGUGGCGGGUUUACAAAUGUUUGAGGGGAGUUCAGCUUGGGGAUCAGGAGUCGGUUGGGGGCGGGACGUCUGCGUCGUUUGUCCGCCGUCAAAAGCGGGCCGGCGGCCGGUCGUCUCUCUCCUCGCCGGCUCCCCUCUCGUCUGUCUCUCCUCGCGUCCGUCACAGCUCUUCUUAGAGGGACAAGCGGCGUUUAGCCGCGUGACAGUGAGCAAUAACAGGUCUGUGAUGCCCUUAGAUGUCCUGGGCCGCACGCGCGCUACACUGAAGGAAUCAGCGUGUUUUUCUCCCCCUGUCCGAAAGGACCGGGUAACCGCUGAACCUCCUUCGUG